CAUUGAUAAUAGCACACUUCUCGAAAGAUAAGGUCGCAAAGCUAUGGGUCUAAAGAAAUUUAUUUCAAUGACUGCCAGGCUGCCAAA
rnacentral:ncRNA from 1 species